rnacentral:rRNA from 1 species
AAUGAACGCUGGCGGCAGGCCUAACACAUGCAAGUCGAACGAGUGGCGGACGGGUGAGCAAUACAUUGGAAUCUGCGUUAUCGAGGGGGAUAACGGAGGGAAACGUUCGCUAAUACCGCAUACGAUGCGAUGAGCCGAUGUGGGAUUAGCUAGUUGGUGGGGUAAAGGCCCACCAAGGCGACGAUCCGUAGCUGGUCUGAGAGGAUGAUCAGCCACACUGGAACUGAGACACGGUCCAGACUCCUACGGGAGGCAGCAGUGGGGAAUAUUGGACAAUGGGCGCAAGCCUGAUCCAGCCAUGCCGCGUGGGUGAAGAAGGCCUUCGGGUUGUAAAGCACUUUUGUUGGGGAAGCGGUACCCAAAGAAUAAGCACCGGCUAACUCCGUGCCAGCAGCCGCGGUAAUAC